GAUGAACGCUGGCGGCGUGCCUAACACAUGCAAGUCGAACGGAAUUUACAUGAAGCCUAGCGAUUGUAAAUUUAGUGGCGGACGGGUGAGUAACGCGUGGGUAACCUGCCUUGUACUGGGGGACGAACAGUUGGAACGACUGCUAAUAACCGCAUAAGCGCACAGCUUCGCAUGAAGCAGUGUGAAAAACUACCGGUGGUACAAGAUGGACCCGCGUCUGAUUAGCUGGUUGGUGAGGUAACGGCCCGACCAAGGCGACGAUCAGUAGCCGGCCCGAGAGGGUGAACGGCCACAUUGGGACUGAGACACGGCCCAAACUCCUACGGGAGGCAGCAGUGGGGGAAUAUUGGCACAAUGGGGGGAAACCCGUGAUGCAGCAACGCCGCGUGAGUGAAGAA
rnacentral:rRNA from 1 species